rnacentral:rRNA from 1 species
CGACGUAAAGCCGGAGGAAGGUGAGGAUGAUGUCAAGUCAGCAUGACCUUUAUAUCCAGGGCUACACACACGCUACAAUGGUCUGUACAAUGGGUAGCCAAGCCGCGAGGCGGAGCCAAUCCUGAAAGCAGGCCUCAGUUCAGAUUGCAGUCUGCAACUCGACUGCAUGAAGCCGGAGUUGCUAGUAACCGCAGGUCAGCAAUACUGCGGUGAAUACGUUCCCGGGUCUU